rnacentral:rRNA from 1 species
GAUGAACGCUGGCGGCGUGCCUAACACAUGCAAGUCGAGCGAACGGACGCGAAGCUUGCUUUUCUGAUGUUAGAGGCGGACGGGAGAGUAACAUGUGGAUCACCUAACUAUAAGACUAGGAUAACUUCGGGAAACCGGAGCUAAUACCGGAUAAUAUCUUGAACCGCAUGGUUCAAAAGUGAAAGACGGUCUUGCUGUAACCUAUAGAUGGAUCCGCGCUGCAUUAGCUAGUUGGUAAGGUAACGGCUUACCAAGGCGACGAUGCAUAGCCGACCUGAGAGGGUGAUCGGCCACACUGGAACUGAGACGCGGUCCUGACUCCUACGGGAGGCAGCAGUAGGGAAUCUUCCGCGAUGUGCGAAAGCCUGACGGAGCAACGCCGCGUGAGUGAUGAAGGUCUUCGGAUCGUAAAACUCUGUUAUUAGGGAAGAACAUAUGUGUAAGGAACUGUGCACAUCUUGACGGUACCUGAUCAGAAAGCCACGGCUAACUACGUG